rnacentral:rRNA from 1 species
UACGUAGGCAGCGAGCGUUUGUUCGGAAUUACUGGGCGUAAAGAGUGUGUAGGCGGUGUUCCCAGUCUGUUGUGAAAUCUCCCGGCUUAACUGGGAGGGUGCAGCGGAAACUAGAAUGCUAGAGGGUGGGAGAGGUAAGCGGAAUUCCUGGUGUAGCGGUGAAAUGCGUAGAUAUCAGGAGGAACACCUGUGGUGUAGACAGCUUACUGGACCACUUCUGACGCUGAGACACGAAGCGUGGGUAGCAAACAGG